UUCUAUUAGAAAUAAUUAAUAGUAAAAUCUGCUCCAUGUCUAAUAAAUAGCCGCAAUUUGUGCUAAGGUAGCAUAAUCAUUUGUCUUUUAAAUGAAGACUAGAACAAAAGAUUUAACAUUUCAGUUUAUUUUCCUAUUCUAUACUAUCCAAUUUCUCUUAAAUGUAAAAAGACAUUUAUAAAAUAGAAAGACGAUAAGACCCUAUUGAACUUAACUGUAGUUAAACUGGGGCAGUAAAUUAAUUAUUAUUUUAAUAUAAAUCUUUAUAUAAAUAUCUAAUACAAUUAAAUAAUUCAGUUACCAUAGGGAUAACAGCGUAAUAAUUUUCUAAAGAUCUUAUUUAAAAUAAAGAUUACGACCUCGAUGUUGAAUUAAUAACCUAAUUAAGGCAAAACUUAAAAAAGGAAGUCUGUUCGACUUUUAAAAAAUUACAUGAUUUGAGUUCAGACCGGUGUAAGCCAGGUCGGUUUCUAUCUUCUAAUAACUUUUUUACAGUACGAAAGGACCUAAAAAUCUAAUA
rnacentral:rRNA from 1 species